rnacentral:rRNA from 1 species
UACGAAGGGGGCUAGCGUUGUUCGGAAUUACUGGGCGUAAAGGGCGCGUAGGCGGUACUUCAAGUCAGGCGUGAAAGCCCCGGGCUCAACCUGGGAACCGCGCUUGAGACUGGAGAACUAGAGUUCGGGAGAGGAUGGUGGAAUUCCCAGUGUAGAGGUGAAAUUCGUAGAUAUUGGGAAGAACACCGAUGGCGAAGGCAGCCAUCUGGACCGACACUGACGCUGAUGCGCGAAAGCCAGGGGAGCAAACGGG